AAAAUUAAUCUUAAAAUCUUUUUUUAAAACUGCUGCUGUGUCCACGGUGUUUGGUCUACAGGUAUGAUUUUACCCUCAAAACGUAGCCAUCGCUGUCCUCUUUCAUCCAAUGUGUUUAUUAUUGUACUAGGUGUUAUGGUUCUGUCAUAAAUGUCACCAAAGCACAGCCUCCUCCCUCCAACUCUUCCAUAGACUCUAAUGUUAAAAUGGCUUAGAAGGUUCGUUUGAAAACCAGAAGUACAGGCUGUCUUUACACUGUCACCACGUCCAUAUAAUAAACUCCACAAGCAUGAAAACUGAGAAUUAGGUAGACUGGACAUUGCUGCCGCUCACGGUGAAAGAAUUUUGUCAAUACGACCUGUACUUUUCAUUUGGGAGCGAUUUGUUUCGGCCUGACUUUUCUGUUCAUUUUAAGCAGCUAAAGUGAGGUGCAUGUCUGUGCGUGUGUAUGGAGCCAUUGGGUGCAGUCACUAUAGCAACCAGGCUCACACCUGCCUGCCUAACGAGCUCUCUCUCACUCUGCCAAGAUUCAUCUUAAACACUUCUCUUUCAACCACUGCUGUGUCCACAGUGUUUGCUCUACAGCCAUCAUUUUACCCUCAAAACGAAGCCAUCGUUGUUCUCUUUCCAACAGCAUGUCUUUCAAAGCUCAGAAAUGUAAACCUUUAAAAGUGUGUGGAUCCAAGUGGAGGGAUUACAGUUUAGUCAUUCAGUGAUUCAAAGAAUAUGAACUUUUAAUAUUCAUUCAGAUGUUUUCUGACUCUAAAUUUUCUUUUCUCAUUUCUUAGGUUUUUCUAAUUUUAAUUUAAAAACUUUUCAGCUAUUUUCCAACUUCUUCUGUGUGGUUGUCAGCUUUCAAAAGUUCUGCACUUUUGUUUUUAGGUUAAAAACUCUGUAUUUUCCAGCUCAUUCAACAUUUUUAACUUAAAAUUCAGCAAUUAAUUCUUUUCAAUGUAUACAUUCAGAUUCAAGCAUUCACACUGCAGUUUCUUCAGAAAAUGCACUUUCUAGUUAU
ensembl:lncRNA